UUGAGUGAGUCUCUGUUUUUCAGUAACCAGAGAGAACAUGGAGAGAGAGAAGCAUAUGCUGAGAAUGACCCUGUAGUCUAAGAAGAAUGUGUGUUCAGAGUUCUGAAACCCUGGCCUUUCCCUUAGAACACAGGCUGUCCAGCGGAUUGAGGCCCUUUGUUUUGGGUUAAAUAGUGAUUGCUAGAUGGAUGGUACUGUGUGAAAAUACUGUAUGAACUGCAUGCUUUUUACAAAUGGUAGCACUUCUCCUGUUCAGCUCGCUGCCACUGGACUGUCCCUGAAAGCAAGUUCCCCCAAAGAACCCUGUGUCUUAUUCCUUGUCUCCAGGUCUCUUCUUCAGCCUCUCAGACACAGUGCCAUCCCUAUUGGAGUAAAUAGGGGUUCAGGAUGACACCUUUAUGACCUCGUUUAAUCUUUAUUACCUCUUUAAGGAACCUAUUUCCAAUAUAGUCACAUCUGAGGGUUAGGGCUUCAACAUAUGAGUUUGAGCCGGACACAAUUCU
rnacentral:lncRNA from 10 species